GUUUGUGUAGGUGGUCGGGAAUUGGGACGGGCAGCGGUCCAAGGUUUACCGGCCUUCACACAAGUGCCUAGCCGAAAAGAUUUCCAGGCACUCAACGACCAAGUACCGCUGUCCACGUUCGGGAGACAAGAUUGCUGCCAAGCUCUCUGCCAUGUGUUCGGUUAUAAGAACUGGCAGUCACCCAGGCGAAUCCCUUGCGGUUUCGCAUUUAAGUGGUUGGUGUCAACGUUUUAAUGUGCCACAGGGGUGGGCCUCGUUCGGG